rnacentral:rRNA from 1 species
UAAUUGAAGAGUUUGAUCAUGGCUCAGAUUGAACGCUGGCGGCAGGCCUAACACAUGCAAGUCGAGCGGCAGCGACAACAUUGAACCUUCGGGGGAUUUGUUGGGCGGCGAGCGGCGGACGGGUGAGUAAUGCCUGGGAAAUUGCCCUGAUGUGGGGGAUAACCAUUGGAAACGAUGGCUAAUACCGCAUGAUAGCUU